GAUGAAGAACGCAGCGAAAUGCGAUACUUGGUGUGAAUUGCAGAAUCCCGUGAACCAUCGAGUCUUUGAACGCAAGUUGCGCCCGAAGCCACUAGGCCGAGGGCACGCCUGCCUGGGCGUCACACGUCGUUGCCCCCCCCCCAUCUACUCCUUCGGGAUUGCGGGGGGCGGAUGAUGGCCUCCCGUGCGCCUAGCCGCGCGGUUGGCAUAAAUACCAAGUCCUCGGCGACGCACGCCACGACAAUCGGUGGUUGCGAAACCUUGGUUGCCCGUCGUGUGCGUUCGUCGCGCAUCGAGGGCUCGAAAAAAUGCUCGGCUCCGGCUCGGCUUUCAACGCGACCCCAGGUCAGGCGGGGUUACCCGCUGAAUUUAAGCAUAUCAAUAAGCGGAGGA
rnacentral:misc_RNA from 1 species